AGCGAACGCUGGCGGCAGGCCUAACACAUGCAAGUCGAGCGCCCCGCAAGGGGAGCGGCAGACGGGAGAGUAACACGUGGGAACGUACCCUUCGGUUCGGAACAACCCAGGGAAACUUGGGCUAAUACCGGAUACGUCCGAAAGGAGAAAGAUUUAUCGCCGAGGGAUCGGCCCGCGUCUGAUUAGCUAGUUGGUGGGGUAACGCCCACCAAGGCGACGAUCAGUAGCUGGUCUGAGAGGAUGAUCAGCCUCACUGGGACUGAGACACGGCCCAGACUCCUACGGGAGGCAGCAGUGGGGAAUAUUGGACAAUGGGCGCAAGCCUGAUCCAGCCAUGCCGCGUGGGUGAUGAA
rnacentral:rRNA from 1 species